rnacentral:lncRNA from 1 species
UCACCUAAAAACCCAAUGUUUGCAUCAAAAACACAAAUUUCAAAUAAACCCACAUAAAAAUGAACUUAACUUUCCAAUACAUCCACAAAAAUUUAACCAAUAAUAUAGCAAAUAAUUGAGAAGUAACUCACAUACUACACACUUAACUUCCCCAUAAACCAACAAAAGUUACCAAAGAACUCAAAUUUACAUGUUCCAGACUUCUUAGGCAAAACUAAUUCCACAUAAUAAAAACUUGAUUUUCUGCACAAACCCACAAAAAUUAUCAAAGAAAACUAGCAAAAUAACUACCAGGAGGCUAUUCACAUACCCCCAAAUCAAUUUUCCAGCAAACAAUAUACAAACAAAAAAACCCAAAAAAACUAGGAAGUAAGUAAUUCUCAUACAGAUUCUGGAGAAUACUUCCGGAAUGGAAUGCAAACUCCACGUUCAAUAUCAAGUUGCUCCAAAGCGCUAGUCCUAGAAAUGUCCUUCACUAGCAAAGCAGUUUUCUCCGACGGAGUCUGUACAGUAGAAACACUACUUACUGCACAAAUCUUAGUCGAUAAAGAUCGAUUUUUUUUAACUGUAUUCAACAGUUUCCUUCUGUUUUUGUACUCAAUUGAUAAUGAGGUUAUUGAUGAAUACAAGCAACUAGUACAAACUCCCUCCAUUUUUUCCCUUUAUUUUCUCAAAUCAAGAAGAUGAAAUAGUGAAAUUGAAGAGUGGAUUUGGGAUUUUUACAUAUAAAUUAUGGAUUAAGAAGAAAUUUUGAUUGAAAAGUGUAUGUGGUUGUCUAUAUGACCACAAAUUUGUGUGUAUAUAUUUGAUGAUGAUCAGAAUUUAGAAAUAUGGAAACUCUGAAGUAACAAACUGAGCUGUCUUAUGAGUUGUACAGUAUGCUUCAAGUGUUUUUU